GCACCAGUGGCGGAACGGCAGACGCGCCGGACUUAGGAUCCGGUGGGCAAGGCUCGUGUGGGUUCGACUCCCACCUGGUGCACAA
rnacentral:tRNA from 1 species